AAGGAUCAUUAUCGUAAAACUGAGGCGCGAGGGCUGUCGCUGACUUUUCGUCGUGCACGCCCGAGUGCUCUCAAACAAUCCAUCUCACCCUGUGCACCACCGCGUGGGUCCCCCUUCUGGCUCGUCCCGAAGGGAGGCUUGCGUUUUCACACAAACUCGAUACAGUGUAGAAUGUCUCCUGCGAUAACACGCAAUUAAUACAACUUUCAACAACGGAUCUCUUGGCUCUCGCAUCGAUGAAGAACGCAGCGAAAUGCGAUACGUAAUGUGAAUUGCAGAAUUCAGUGAAUCAUCGAAUCUUUGAACGCACCUUGCGCCCCUUGGCAUUCCGAGGGGCACACCCGUUUGAGUGUCGUGAAAUUAUCAAAAACCUUUCUUUCGAAAGGGUUUUGGACUUGGAGGCUUUUUGCUGGCUUUUAAGCGAGCUCCUCCCAAAUAAAUUAGUGGGGUCCGCUUUGCCGAUCCUUGACGUGAUAAGAUGUUUUCUACGUCUCGGGUUUGGCGAUGCCUCUUGGGCACCUGCUUCUAACCGUCCGAUGGACAAUGAUGGCGUCCCGGUCACCACCGUUUUAUCGGUUGGGAGGCUUGGCCCACCAAAAAAACCUUGA
rnacentral:rRNA from 1 species